ensembl:lncRNA
UGGGGGACUUCAACUAUCCAGAUAUAUGUUGGGAAAAUAACACCGCGGGGCACAGACUAUCCAAUAAGUUCCUGGACUGCAUAGCAGACAACUUUUUAUUUCAGAAAGUUGAAAAAGCUACUAGGGGGGAAGCUGUUCUAGACUUGAUUUUAACAAAUAGGGAGAAACUUGUUGAGAAUUUGAAAGUAGAAGGAAGCUUGGGUGAAAGUGAUCAUGAAAUCAUAGAAUUUGCAAUUCUAAGGAAGGGUAGAAGGGAGUACAGCAGAAUAGAGACAAUGGAUUUCAGGAAGGCGGAUUUUGGUAAGCUCAGAGAGCUGAUAGGUAAGGUCCCAUGGGAAUUAAGACUGAGGGGAAAAACAACUGAGGAAAGUUGGCAGUUUUUCAAAGGGACGCUAUUAAGGGCCCAAAAGCAAGUUAUUCCGAUGGUUAGGAAAGAUAGAAAAUGUGGCAAAAGACCACCUUGGCUUACCCUUGAGAUCUUGCGUGACCUACAAAAUAAAAAGGCGUCAUAUAAAAAAUGGAAACUAGGUCAGAUCACGAAGGAUGAAUAUAGGCAAAUAACACAGGAAUGCAGAGGCAAGAUUAGAAAAGCAAAGGCACAAAAUGAACUCAAACUAGCUAUGGGAAUAAAGGGAAACAAGAAGACUUUUUAUCAAUACAUUAGAAGCAAGAGGAAGACUAAGGACAGGGUAGGCCCACUGCUCAAUGAGGAGGGGGUAACAGUAACGGGAGACUUGGAAAUGGCAGAGAUGCUUAAUGACUUCUUUGUUUCGGUCUUCACUGAGAAGUCUGAAGGAAUGUCUAGUAUAGUGAAUGCUUACGGGAAGAGGGUAGGUUUAGAAGAGAAAAUAAGGAAAGAGCAAGUAAAAAAUCACUUAGAAAAGUUAGAUGCCUGCAAGUCACCAGGGCCUGAUGAAAUGCAUCCUAGAAUACUCAAGGAGUUAAUAGAGGAGGUAUCUGAGCCUCUAGCUAUUAUCUUUGGGAAAUCAUGGGAGACGGGGGAGAUUCCAGAAGACUGGAAGGGGGCAAAUAUAGUGCCCAUCUAUAAAAAGGGAAAUAAAAACAACCCAGGAAACUACAGACCAGUUAGUUUAACUUCUGUGCCAGGGAAGAUAAUGGAGCAGGUAAUCAAAGAAAUCAUCUGCAAACACUUGGAAGGUGGUAAGGUGAUAGGGAAUAGCCAGCAUGGAUUUGUAAAGAACAAAUCGUGUCAAACUAAUCUGAUAGCGUUCUUUGAUAGGAUAACGAGCCUUGUGGAUAAGGGAGAAGCGGUGGAUGUGAUAUACC